GCUGCGCGGGAGGGGCGGGAGAGGGACGGGAGAGCCGCGGGGACGGUCCCGCGCGGGCAGCGCUGUGCGUCCCUAGCGCCGUGGGGCCCCAUGAGGCGGCCGCACAAUCCCCGCACCGAGAGGAGGUCAUCCAGACCAGCUGCCCUGGUGAGCAGCGGCACCCACCGCAGCUUGCCCAGCAUCACAACGGCCAGACGGGUUUGGAAGCUCUCCAGACAGGGAGACUCAACAAGCUCUUUGGGCAGACUGCUCCAGGGCUCCAGCGCCCUCACAAGAAGCAGGUUUCUCUUCCUGGUCAGAAGGAACCUCCUCGGUUCCAGUUUGUGCCUAUUGCUCCUUGUCCUGUCACUGGGCACCACUGAGAAGAGUCUGGACUCAUCCUCUUGCCCCCCACAGACAGAAAACCAGCAAAGAUUCUCAGGUGUUACUUGGUCAGUCCAAGUCAGCAGUGUGGAGUCAGGCAAGGGAACAGUGACGGAGCCAGCACCCGAGAGCCAGACUGUUUAUACAUUGCUGUUUGUCCCUCUUAGCAAACCAAUAAAUGAGAUGGACCUUAUCAUUA